rnacentral:rRNA from 1 species
CCUACGGGGGAAAAAUUUAUUGCUAUUAGAUGAGCCUAUAUUAGAUUAGCUAGUUGGUGGAGUAAUAGCCUACCAAGGCAAUGAUCUAUAGCUGAUCUGAGAGGAUGAUCAGCCACACUGGAACUGAGAUACGGUCCAGACUCCUACGGGAGGCAGCAGUGGGGAAUAUUGGACAAUGGGCGAAAGCCUGAUCCAGCCAUGCCGCAUGAGUGAAGAAGGCCUUUGGGUUGUAAAGCUCUUUUAGUGAGGAAGAUAAUGACGGUACUCACAGAAGAAGUCCUGGCUAACUCCGUGCCAGCAGCCGCGGUAAUACGGAGAGGGCUAGCGUUAUUCGGAAUUAUUGGGCGUAAAGGGCGCGUAGGCGGAUUAGUAAGUUAAAAGUGAAAUUCCAAGGCUCAACCUUGGAAUUGCUUUUAAAACUGCUAAUCUAGAGAUUGAAAGAGGAUAGAGGAAUUCCUAGUGUAGAGGUGAAAUUCGUAAAUAUUAGGAGGAACACCAGUGGCGAAGGCGUCUAUCUGGUUCAAAUCUGACGCUGAGGCGCGAAGGCGUGGGGAGCAAACAGGAUUAGAUACCCUGGUAGUCCACGCUGUAAACGAUGAAUGUUAAAUAUGGGAAGUUUUACUUUCUGUAUUACAGCUAACGCGUUAAACAUUCCGCCUGGGGACUACGGUCGCAAGAUUAAAACUCAAAGGAAUUGACGGGGACCCGCACAAGCGGUGGAGCAUGUGGUUUAAUUCGAUGCAACGCGAAAAACCUUACCACUCCUAGACAUGGAAAUUAUACCUAUUCGAAGGGAUAGG